ACUCCUACGGGAGGCAGCAGUAGGGAAUCUUCCACAAUGGGCGCAAGCCUGAUGGAGCAACACCGCGUGAGUGAAGAAGGGUUUCGACUCGUAAAGCUCUGUUGUUAAAGAAGAACACGUAUGAGAGUAACUGUUCAUACGUUGACGGUAUUUUAACCAGAAAGUCACGGCUAACUACGUGCCAGCAGCCGCGGUAAUACGUAGGUGGCAAGCGUUAUCCGGAUUUAUUGGGCGUAAAGAGAGUGCAGGCGGUUUUCUAAGUCUGAUGUGAAAGCCUUCGGCUUAACCGGAGAAGUGCAUCGGAAACUGGAUAACUUGAGUGCAGAAGAGGGUAGUGGAACUCCAGGUGUAGCGGUGAAAUGCGUAGAGAUCUGAAGGAAUACCAGUGGCGAAGGCGGCCCCCGUGGACAAAGACUGACGCUCAGAUGCGAAAGC
rnacentral:rRNA from 1 species